rnacentral:rRNA from 1 species
GGGAACGUCUAGGUAGAUGAUCAGAUGUUAUCGAGUAAUGGCAUAGGAAUCUACCUAGUAGUAUGGGAUAGCCACUAGAAAUGGUGGGUAAUACUGUAUAAUCCCUGCGGGGGAAAGAUUUAUCGCUAUUAGAUGAGCCUAUGUUAGAUUAGCUAGUUGGUAGGGUAAAGGCCUACCAAGGCGAUGAUCUAUAGCUGGUCUGAGAGGAUGAUCAGCCACACUGGAACUGAGAUACGGUCCAGACUCCUACGGGAGGCAGCAGUGGGGAAUAUUGGACAAUGGGCGCAAGCCUGAUCCAGCUAUGCCGCGUGAGUGAGGAAGGCCCUAGGGUUGUAAAACUCUUUCAGUAGGGAAGAUAAUGACGGUACCUACAGAAGAAGUCCCGGCGAACUCCGUGCCAGCAGCCGCGGUAAUACGGAGGGGGCGAGCAUUGUUCGGAAUUAUUGGGCGUAAAGGGCAUGUAGGCGGUUUGGUAAGUUAAAGGUGAAAUGCCAGGGCUUAACCCUGGAGCUGCUUUUAAUACUGCCAGACUAAAGACCGGGAGAGGAUAACGGAAUUCCUAUUGUAGAGGUGAAAUUCGUAGAUAUUAUGAGGAGCACCCCUGGCGAAAGAGGCUAUCUGGUCCGCUACUGACGCAGACUUGAGAGAGCGUGAGGUCCAGAGAGGGGGAGAUACCCCGCUGAUCAACUCUGUAUACACUC